rnacentral:lncRNA from 1 species
UAUUUCAAACCCUAAAGUAUCAAUUUUCUUUCUGAUUCUUGUCUAACAACUUCAGUUCUUGUAAUAACAACUUCAACACAGAUUGAGGUUUCGAAAAUCUCUACUGAGGAUAUGCAAGUGAGGUAUUCUUCAGAUUAGGAACGAUACAAGAAGAUGAAGCCGAUGGCGAUUCAAGCCGAUUGGAUCAUGUGAAACCUUGAUGAAAGGUAGAAUAAGAAAGAGAUGGGAAGAUGGAGGAAUAGAGAGAGACAGAUCCAGGAACGUCGACUCUUGGAAUCAUGUUUUGGUGCUUCAGAUCCUACAAAAAAUGUUCAAAUAAUGGCAGGUUUUGAUUCAGAAUUCAGAAACAUGGUUUUGGCCAGGCUGUAAGCAAGAUCUUCUUCCCUUCGCAAAACCCUAAAUUGCCCUUUGUGAAAUAGGCCGAUAUCGGAACUGUGAUCAGGCUGCGGUUUCGAGUUAUGGGGAACCGAGUGGACAUGGAACUGUUGUAUGUAGUGUUGAUUGUUUGA